rnacentral:rRNA from 1 species
GAUCAUGGCUCAGGAUGAACGCUAGCUACAGGCUUAACACAUGCAAGUCGAGGGGAAACGACAUCGAAAGCCUGCUUUUGAUGGGCGUCGACCGGCGCACGGGUGAGUAACGCGUAUCCAACCUGCCCAUCACUUGGGAAUAACCUUGCGAAAGUAAGACUAAUGCCCAAUGACAUCCCACGAAGGCAUCCGAAUGGGAUUAAAGAUUUAUCGGUGAUGGAUGGGGAUGCGUCUAA